UACGAAGGGUGCAAACGUUGCUCGGAAUUAUUGGGCGUAAAGCGCACGUAGGCGGCUUUGCAAGUCGGAUGUGAAAUCCCUCGGCUUAACCGAGGAACUGCCGUCCAAACUGCUUCGCUUGAGACCGGGAGAGGUGAGUGGAAUUCCCAGUGUAGCGGUGAAAUGCGUAGAUAUUGGGAGGAACACCAGUGGCGAAGGCGGCUCACUGGACCGGUACUGACGCUGAUGCGCGAAAGCGUGGGGAGCAAACGGG
rnacentral:rRNA from 1 species